rnacentral:lncRNA from 1 species
UCCGUACUCUGCUGUUUUUUAUUUUGCAUCUUUACUGAAAGUCACACAGCCAAAAAGAUCUUCUCUGGCAUCUAGAAGACUCAUGCAGAGAAGCAAGAAGCUGGAAGGAUAAGAUGGGAAAAAUUAUGUGAGUAAAAGCAAAUGGGGAAAAAUUGUGUUUAAUGGCAUUUUAAGAAGAUGCAGAUGAACCUUAACUUCAUAUGACUUUUUUUUUUUUUUUUUUUUUUUAAGCAAAACCACCCUGAAAAACAUUAUAAUAAUUAUCUGUAUUAUUUUUUUCACCUAGCAGAAUGUCUGAAGAAUAAUUAGUUUGUGGAUGCAGAACUAGAAGAUGUUAAGGAGAAACACAUUUUCUGAAAAGUAAUGCUGAAGGUCAUGUCCUCAAUGUAUUUGUGUAUUUCUUUCUAGCGCAACUGGGGGUGAAAUGACACAGGUCAAUAUUGGGAAUUCAUAUUGAAAUUCUUGCCUAACUCUUGUUUCUCUGAGUAUUCUGCUGAAUUCUUUGUGGCUGUCCACAGUGGCAGAAGGGAGCAAAUCCAUCGUCCUGCACCAGCCCUUGCAGAUGUGAAAUUUGCAGGUUCCACCAAAUGGUGGAUGUGUUGUUACAUGUGUUGCAUAUGUAUUGCAUAACACAUACAUGUAUAUGUAUUGUAUAACACAUAUAUUGUUAUCCCUGACUUUCCUGCACUGCAAUUUCCCCACUGGGAACUGGUAGGACCUUAUCUUUAAGGAUCAUCCCUGGAGGCCACUCAAGGGUAGUACCAUCAUGGCAAUGUAAUCUGGAUGCAUAUUCUUUUCUCUGGCUUAUUUCCAUGGUGCCAGUAAUAAUGUGCAUGGUCCUACUUACUCUGCUCUGUCCCUCUCUGUUUCAGGGGAGAAUAUGGCCCAGGGCAUCCUUCCGUUCCAUGUAUCAUGCUUCCAUUUCCCUUCACCCCACAGGAGAUGAAGAACUUCAGAUUGAUGGAAGAGCUGACCUGUUUUUGGCUGCUUGGGUCUUUUUCCAAACCAGAAGAUGAUAAAGUGCUUCCCAAUACUGGAUGAAGACAAAAGAAAGUGUCAUCGACACAAGCAGUAAAAUAAGCUGAAUAAGCUUGUUUGGACUCCUGGUUACUAAUCUAAUCCUUUUACAAUCAUUUUUGGCUCUAGAAAUAAGAACUAUUUGCAAAAUAAACUUUUUUUUUUUUUUUUUGUAAUGCCCCAGUCAGAUUAUUGCAAAUGUUGAAUCUCAUAUCCUUGAUCUAGUCUUUCAAACUUCAAUAACUGCCAAUCUUUACUUACUACAGAAUGUUGGUAUACUCUGCGUAAAUCUAUGGACAGUUAAAUUUUUGGAAAGUGCUUAUAAAUUGUUCCCUGAAGUCAAUAUAUAUCAGUAGAUACAGCUAAAAUAAAACACAGACAGUGGUUUGAGGUUUCUGGAGACUCCCAAUAUUCCUACUGAAAAAAAAAAUCUUAGCUUUAUUUUUUCCACUGCUAUUUCACAGACCAGUUUUCUUACAUCAUAGAUCUUUC